CAUCAGCAAGAACCAUUGCGCCACCUUCAAGGUAAAAUUCUCUGGUAACUGAGUCUCUUUGAAUAGAAGCAGUCAAACCAGCAGCACUUGAACCUUUACCGGAAGUAUAAACAGCGAUGGGGGCCAGUCGCUCAACGAAUUUCAAAAAUUGAGAUUUCGCAGUACCAGGAUCACCAAGAAGUAAAACAUUAAUGUCACCACGAAGGCGCAUACCAUCGGGGAGAAUUUUUUUAGAACCUGAAAAAAGUAGGCAUGCAAUAGCUUUCUUGAUGUCUACAUUACCAUAAAUAGCGGGAGAUAUGCUGUUGGAUAUAAUAUCGUACAAAUUCGGAGUACGAGAAAUUUCAAGGAACUCCUCUUCUUCCUCUUCACUAAAUAAAGGAGUAGAUUUAGAGCCAUCAUUUGAAUCCAUUUGAAUACCCACGACUCUGAUAUAAGGGUUCCGAAUGGCCACGGCACCACUAGCUUUAACAGACUUAUUUUGAAAAAUAGAAAAAAUGCCAGUAAUAACGCAGCGGGUUCCCGGAGUAAUUUGGUUAGUUAAAUAGCGAUCAGCAUUCAAUAAUAUAUGACGAGGCAACUCACCGACAGGAACCAUAUCAGGAGCUUCCUGUAGUUUAAGCACCUGCUGAUCGAUAAAAGUCGAUUUUGAAUGAUCAAUAAUGAAAGGAUCCAUCGGGCAGUCUUUUUUUUCACCAUCGAGAACAGGAGCUUCACAAACUCUAGGAAGCUGAACACCUGAAAAUCCACCAGAAAUCUGUAAAAUCCUGGUAGCCCUACAAUUUCUGCAUACUAAGUGCAAAGCAGUUGCACGGCAGGAAAGUGUUGAAGCACCGAUGAUGAUACCAGGCACUCUAACCAGUUUUGAGAUAUGAGAAGCUGUCAGGUUACGGAUUGGAAGGAUGUUAGCAUCGUAACGUAGAGUUACCUGGCAAGUGGGGAUAUUCGUAGAAGCAUUUUCUUGACUUCUAUAAAGUAGGCGUUUAGCAACUGUAGUGACAGCAGACUCAAACAGAGGUAGAAUAUCUGUCGGCUGACUCAGAAGCAAAUGAGCUAGAUCUUCGUUAUAACUGAUCAGGUGCCUAAGAUCUAUGUUCAACAUGUAUUGUUUUACCACGAGAUUGUCUCUUAGUUGAGUACGAUAGAUAAAGUCAUUGUCAAUCACAAAUUCUUCAAUAAACUGUAUGAAAUUCUUCUCAUGACUAACAUUGGAAUCUAAUUCUUGCUC